rnacentral:tRNA from 1 species
GCGGCAGUGGCGCAAGCAGGCAGACGCGCCGCUCUUAAAAAGCGGAUGAUGUGAGUUCGAGUCUCACCUGCCGCACCA